GAGGAACCUGCCUCAAAGAGGGGGACAACAGUUGGAAACGACUGCUAAUACCGCAUAAGCCCACGACCCGGCAUCGGGUAGAGGGAAAAGGAGCAAUCCGCUUUGAGAUGGCCUCGCGUCCGAUUAGCUAGUUGGUGAGGUAAUGGCCCACCAAGGCGACGAUCGGUAGCCGGACUGAGAGGUUGAACGGCCACAUUGGGACUGAGACACGGCCCAGACUCCUACGGGAGGCAGCAGUGGGGAAUAUUGCACAAUGGGGGAAACCCUGAUGCAGCGACGCCGCGUGGAGGAAGAAGGUCUUCGGAUUGUAAACUCCUGUUGUUGAGGAAGAUAAUGACGGUACUCAACAAGGAAGUGACGGCUAACUACGUGCCAGCAGCCGCGGUAAAACGUAGGUCACAAGCGUUGUCCGGAAUUACUGGGUGUAAAGGGAGCGCAGGCGGGAAGACAAGUUGGAAGUGAAAUCCAUGGGCUCAACCCAUGAACUGCUUUCAAAACUGUUUUUCUUGAGUAGUGCAGAGGUAGGCGGAAUUCCCGGUGUAGCGGUGGAAUGCGUAGAUAUCGGGAGGAACACCAGUGGCGAAGGCGGCCUACUGGGCACCAACUGACGCUGAGGCUCGAAAGUGUGGGUAGCAAACAGG
rnacentral:rRNA from 1 species